UCAGCAGGGACCAGUCAAUGUCCAGUAGCC
rnacentral:piRNA from 1 species